UACGAAGGGGGCUAGCGUUGCUCGGAAUCACUGGGCGUAAAGCGCACGUAGGCGGACUCUUAAGUCAGGGGUGAAAUCCUGGAGCUCAACUCCAGAACUGCCCUUGAUACUGGGAGCCUUGAGUUCGGGAGAGGUGAGUGGAACUGCGAGUGUAGAGGUGAAAUUCGUAGAUAUUCGCAAGAACACCAGUGGCGAAGGCGGCUCACUGGCCCGAUACUGACGCUGAGGCACGAAAGCGUGGGGAGCAAACAGG
rnacentral:rRNA from 1 species